CCUACGGGAGGCUGCAGUGGGGAAUAUUGGACAAUGGGGGCAACCCUGAUCCAGUCAUGCCGCGUGUGUGAAGAAGGCCCUCGGGUUGUAAAGCACUUUCAGUGAGGAAGAACGCCUGGUGGUUAAUACCCAUCAGGAAAGACAUCACUCACAGAGGAAGCACCGGCUAACUCCGUGCCAGCAGCCGCGGUAAUACGGAGGGUGCGAGCGUUAAUCGGAAUUACUGGGCGUAAAGCGCGCGUAGGUGGCUUGAUAAGCCGGUUGUGAAAGCCCCGGGCUCAACCUGGGAACGGCAUCCGGAACUGUCAAGCUAGAGUGCAGGAGAGGAAGGUAGAAUUCCCGGUGUAGCGGUGAAAUGCGUAGAGAUCGGGAGGAAUACCAGUGGCGAAGGCGGCCUUCUGGACUGACACUGACACUGAGGUGCGAAAGCGUGGGUAGCAAACAGGAUUAGAUACCCCAGUAGUC
rnacentral:rRNA from 1 species